GGUGCGAGUGUCUUCGCCUCUGAGAGAGAUACUAUGAGAUCUCAAGCCUCGGAGGCGUAGAUACUCACACC
rfam:Glycine soja cultivar W05 scaffold479_7, whole genome shotgun sequence.